GGGAGGCCGCCGAGUGCCGUCACGCCCGCCGCCACCUCCCGGGAGGCCAGUCCCUCCGGGUGGGCCGGGGUGCCUCCUCCGCACGCGUGCUGGGGGACGUGUGUGUGGGCCCAGCCUCCUCCCCGAUAGCGACCCGGAGCCGCCGAAACCCAUGGAAACCUUUCUUAUAGGAGCUGCGCAUCAGACCCAUGAACCCACAGGACAAAACAUUCUAUUCAAGGAGGGAACAGCAAGAAGGAAAAGGUCAACAUUCCUAGAAGCAAGGCAAAGCGGAAUCAGAACACGGCGGGUGGAGGCUGACUACCUGGAUUCAAAUCCCUGCUCUGUCAUCUGCUACCUGUGUGACUUGAGUGGCAAAGUCUUGUAAAACACACUUGCUUGACAAGUUCCAGUGUCUAAAGGGGUGGUGAGGUGCUCCGGAGGAGUACUCGUUGGACUAGGAUCCAGCAGUUCCAGGCCUGGCUUAGAUCCAAAUUGCCACAAGCACGAAGGAAACCCCAUCUUGCUGAUACUCUCCUGGAUCAAAUUCCCUGCUGACUUCUUUCCCUGGACUGCCUCGCAUGUUUGACAGUGAACAAGAAGCCUGAAGACAACCAGAAAAGCAACUCAGCAUCUGGCUUUCUGUGGCCUGGGAGAAGAAGGCAGCAACCGGCGCCCACCCACAGAGUUCGUCCUGCGCAGAAUCAACCCUGGCUCCAUGCUCCUCUCUCCCUGGCGGGAGCAGACUGGAAUAAGAGGCAUGGUUUCAUUCCUCUAAAAACCCCCACGCUGGGAGGAGAGGACCCACAACAGCCCGAUGCUGGGAGCCGGCACCCCCGCUCGACCACUGAUCAGCUCUAGGUCUUCUCAGGAGUCUGGGGGGACCCAUCAUUCUGGCCUUCUUCCCUGUCAGCGGCUGCAUUUUCUCUACACGCUUGAAAAAUCAUUUGAAAAACCAGAGAAGCUGAGCGAACCUGGAGAGGAUGGCAGCCCUUUUUUCCAGAAGAAGGACUGGGCCUCCCAGUUUUGACUGUCAGCUGUGGUGCCUGGCGGCCCCGCCGGUUGGCAUCCUGACAGGAUCUCAAGUCCAGAGCAGCAAGUAAACAUGGAUGACAUUGCAGCGCGAGGGGGACGCGAGCACAUGAUGACUCGAGGCACCUGCAGCUGCUUGCACCCAAAUCAAAGUACAGGCUGAGCUCACUGGGAUGGAAAAGCACGGAAUUUACCGGGAGUGAGUUGGCUCCGUGCGAGGUGAGGGAGGAGCGGGCUUGGUGGAGGAGACGGGAGGGAAAGAUGGAGUCCUGAGCGCUGGCAUUUUGCCCAUUGACAAGACUCCGCUGAAGCACCUUGGGGGCAAUCCCCGGGUCCUAAGGCCCAUUGUCUCCCCUAUGGCGGGUAGGGAUUGGCAGCAGCCAGUGCUGGGCUGACAGGUCCAUGAGAUGAAGGACAGGCCGGGAAAGCGGUGCUACCGGGUAGGACAGAGCUGAUGUUCACUUAACAAGCAUGGCUUCAGGCCUACGACUACAUUUUACUGGCCGCGGGACCUCCAAUGAGUUAUUUAACCUCUCGGCCUCAGUUUCCACAUCUGCAACAUGGAAACAAUUAACCAUAGUCAUGGUGAGCCCUAGUCCAAUGACAGAGUAGAUGGAUAAAGCACGCCUACCAAGAAUUACUAGUUUCUUGUCUCUCCUUACCCUGCAAGAAUUGACUUUGGACCCUUCUCCACUGACAGCCCCCACAUUUUAAGCCAGCGAGGCAUUUCUAGGCUCUGCAGCUCCCUUCCCUCCUGGAGUUGGAGUUAGCAGAUCCCUGCAGCUCGCCCCCCCUAUUCUGGAACUGAGUGUCCCUGGAACGCUGGCACAGGGAGGAGGAAUACAUAGUGGUCCAGUGUUCAGCUUCACAGGCAAGAAGUGCCCCUUGGAAGAGAUACAUUUUCUUUUAGGGCAGUGGUUCUCAACCUUCUGGCCCUUUAAAUACAGUUCCUCAUGUUAUGACCCAACCAUAAAAUUAUUU